AUGUUUAUCAAAUAAAAUCUUAUGUUACAACUAAUCAUGGAUCCCUUUAAAUAAAACAAAUAGAUGUAGUUCUCUUGUGUACAUCACAUGAGGUGAUUUAGGCUUAAAAAUAAAACAUAUGAUCACAAAACAGCACGUUUUUAUUGAGCUUUUCUGAUGGUUAGAAAGAAAAACGGAGGUUUUCAUGAGUUCUGCUGGUUUCUAUGAAGAGCCAGUAAAUAAAAGAAGUGUUUUUAUUAGUGUUUAGAGUAAUUUACUGCUUCAAGUGUCAGUUUGUGUCGUUAUGUUGGUCCAAAUGGAGGCAUGAAUGUCAUCUAAAAGAAAAAGCUUCAAACAGGCGUUUUGUCAGUUUACAGUUCUGAAGUGUGUYCUGUAAGUGUGCAUUCACACCAGAUGUUUAGUUCGCUCUAAGAACUCUAGAGCCCCAUCUCCACCGACGACCAGAGACCGCUCUGAAAGCAGGAAGUGGACUAUAACGCAGGGCAUUCUGGGUAAUAACCGCAAUGAAGUUACUCAUAUCUUGUUGAAGACUGUUUGACACAUUUAGCCAAAAACAGAAAAUAAAUCCUACAACCACUAAAA